GAGUUUGAUCUUGGCUCAGAUUGAACGCUGGCGGCAUGCCCUACACAUGCAAGUCGAACGGCAGCAUGAUCUAGCUUGCUAGAUUGAUGGCGAGUGGCGAACGGGUGAGUAAUACAUCGGAACGUGCCCUGUAGUGGGGGAUAACUAGUCGAAAGAUUAGCUAAUACCGCAUACGACCUGAGGGUGAAAGUGGGGGACCGCAAGGCCUCAUGCUAUAGGAGCGGCCGAUGUCUGAUUAGCUAGUUGGUGGGGUAAAGGCCCACCAAGGCGACGAUCAGUAGCUGGUCUGAGAGGACGAUCAGCCACACUGGGACUGAGACACGGCCCAGACUCCUACGGGAGGCAGCAGUGGGGAAUUUUGGACAAUGGGCGAAAGCCUGAUCCAGCAAUGCCGCGUGUGUGAAGAAGGCCUCGGUGUAAG
rnacentral:rRNA from 1 species